AUACUACUCCCUCCGUCCUAAAAUUCUUGUCUUAAGUUUGUCUAAAAAUGGAUGUAUCUAAAUAUUAAAGAUGACUAGAUACACAUAUAUCUAGACAAAUCUAUGACAAGAAUUUUGGAGGAAGGGAGUACUUG
rfam:Hordeum vulgare subsp. vulgare, WGS project CAJW01000000 data, contig: morex_contig_60000